rnacentral:rRNA from 1 species
UACAGGAGGUCUCAAGCGUUUGUUCGGAUUCAUUGGGCGUAAAGGGUGCGUAGGCGGCGCGGUAAGUCGGGUGUGAAAAUUUCGAGGCUUAACUUCGAAACUGCAUUCGAUACUGCCGUGCUAGAGGACUGGAGAGGAGACUGGAAUUUACGGUGUAGCGGUGAAAUGCGUAGAUAUUCGCAAGAACACCAGUGGCGAAGGCGGCUUACUGGUCCGGUUCUGACGCUGAGGCGCGAAAGCGUGGGGAGCAAACAGG